rnacentral:rRNA from 1 species
AAAAUGAAUUGCUUAUUGCACCACAUGUGUUUUUCUUUGAAACAAACUUGCUUUGGCGGUGGGCCCAGCCUGCCGCCAGAGGUCUAAACUUACAACCAAUUUUUUAUCAACUUGUCACACCAGAUUAUUACUAAUAGUCAAAACUUUCAACAACGGAUCUCUUGGUUCUCGCAUCGAUGAAGAACGCAGCGAAAUGCGAUACGUAAUAUGAAUUGCAGAUAUUCGUGAAUCAUCGAAUCUUUGAACGCACAUUGCGCCCUCUGGUAUUCCGGAGGGCAUGCCUGUUUGAGCGUCGUUUCUCCCUCAAACCGCUGGGUUUGGUGUUGAGCAAUACGACUUGGGUUUGCUUGAAAGACGGUAGUGGUAAGGCGGGAUCGCUUUGACAAUGGCUUAGGUCUAACCAAAAACAUUGCUUGCGGCGGUAACGUCCACCACGUAUAUCUUCAAACUUUGACCUCAAAUCAGGUAGGACUACCCGCUGAACUUAAGCAUAUCAAAAGCCGGGAGGAA